rnacentral:rRNA from 1 species
GAUGAACGCUAGCGGCAGGCUUAACACAUGCAAGUCGAGGGGUAUUGGUUUUCGGACCAAGAGACCGGCGCACGGGUGCGUAACGCGUAUGCAAUCUACCUUUUGCAGAGGGAUAGCCCCAGAGAAAUUUGGAUUAAUACCUCAUAGUAUAGUACUUUGGCAUCAAGGAACUAUUAAAGUCACAACGGCGAAAGAUGAGCAUGCGUCCAUUAGCUAGUUGGUAAGGUAACGGCUUACCAAGGCUACGAUGGGUAGGGGUCCUGAGAGGGAGAUCCCCCACACUGGUACUGAGACACGGACCAGACUCCUACGGGAGGCAGCAGUGAGGAAUAUUGGACAAUGGCGCAAGCCUGAUCCAGCCAUGCCGCGUGCAGGAUGACGGUCCUAUGGAUUGUAAACUGCUUUUAUACAGGAAGAAACACUCCGACGUGUCGGAGCUUGACGGUACUGUAAGAAUAAAGGAUCGGCUAACUCCGUGCCAGCAGCCGAC